AGCGAACGCUGGCGGCAGGCCUAACACAUGCAAGUCGAACGGAUCCUUCGGGAUUAGUGGCGGACGGGUGAGUAACACGUGGGAACGUGCCCUUUGGUUCGGAACAACUCAGGGAAACUUGAGCUAAUACCGGAUGUGCCCUUCGGGGGAAAGAUUUAUCGCCAUUGGAGCGGCCCGCGUCUGAUUAGCUAGUUGGUGAGGUAAAGGCUCACCAAGGCGACGAUCAGUAGCUGGUCUGAGAGGAUGAUCAGCCACAUUGGGACUGAGACACGGCCCAAACUCCUACGGGAGGCAGCAGUGGGGAAUCUUGCGCAAUGGGCGAAAGCCUGACGCAGCCAUGCCGCGUGAAUGAUGAAGGUCUUAGGAUUGUAAAAUUCUUUCACCGGGGAUGACAAUGACGGUACCCGGAGAAGAAGCCCCGGCUAACUACGUGCCAGCCGCCGCGGUAA
rnacentral:rRNA from 1 species